GUCUUAAGUAUAAACUUUUAUUGUUUCUCUCCAAUUUCUGUGCAACUCAUGCCGCUGUUACCCGCCUGAACACUAAAGCCGCAAAUUUUCUUCUUCAUCCAAAAAUUCUAGCCAACCCUUCUUCGGACAAGACUGAACAAAAACCUGGACAACCUAUCGCUGCCUUCUUCGUUUUCGACCUUCGACCAAGAGAACCCCAUCCCUAACGUUCCAUCAGCUUCCUCAACAUUACAAGCACCAGGCGACCCCAUUUUCCACCGGAACUCAACAACCAGUCAAACACCUCUCAAAACCACCACUAAAACUCCAUCUCCAGCUAUGGGAGUGGCUUGAAAACUCCAGGGAGUGAGCUGAAACUUCAGCUCAAAAGGAGCUGAAAUACUGUCUCAAAAGCGCCAUUAAAAUAGCUCCUUUGCACACACAACACGGCAAAGUCGGCAGUGAGAUCCCGUUCGAGCGAUUAGCGUUAGAGGUGGCUGUUUCGAGGUUCUCAGUGUCGUUUCCGGUCCGGAUUCGCUCUAUUCUGUUCCAGAUCUUUGUUGCAUUCUAUUUUCGGGUAAGACUUUUUUUUAAGUUGAAAAACAAAUAUAAUUGUAUUCCAUCGGAAGUUUGCUUUAAGAUGAUAAUUGUAUAUAUAAUUUUGUGGUGUUGCUCCAUUGUUUUGCUUUGUUUGUCUUCAUUAUUAGAAGUCAUAGCAUACUGGGGUUGAAUUGUAUUGUUUCAAGAUCUGAUUAUGCUUUCAGUUCUUUUAUAAUUUAAACUGUAAUACCCGAAGAAGUAUUUUCAGUAGAGCAUCGUGCUUUUAAAAUUGAUGAGGACUGUCUUGUGCAGUUUUGAUGGGAAUUAGGUGUAAGGGUGAAACCUUUAGAUACAAUAUGAAAAAUUUUAAAAGCCAGUAAUUUGGAUGAUUUCUUUGAUUACUAGAUUGGUCAUCGUAAUAUUUAGUUCUGUGGCAUUAAGAAGUGAUAUAUGGGGGUGGGUAUUGGUUAAUAAUCUAGAAGCUCUUAUCAUGUUUUAACCCAUUUCUUUUUUUAUUGUGUUCUGUUUUUAAUUCUCAAAUUAUUUAGAUAUUUCUCCUAUUUAAAUAUUUGUUUUGUUAGGACAAUACGUGUAUGAAUGUCUGCUGGGCUGUGUGGAUUGCUAAAAGAUCGAGCCCACUAGUACUUAAUUAAAGGGAUUUUUUCAUAUAUGUACCAAAUUCAAAACUAUAUUAUCAAAGAUGUUCAUAAUAUAUAUAUUAUAUUUCUAGUUUAUUUUUUUCUUUCAUUCUAUGUACCAAAUGAGCUCCACCCGCCAAUCACCCCAAAAAGGAAGGAAUAUAUUUAACUUUUGUGUUAGUUAAAGUAGAAACAUGUUGUAGUUGGGCUUGACUUUAAUUAUAGAUAUUAAAGCGAAAAGGGGAAAGUAAGAGUGAGUCUUACUACAAUUGAAGAAUAAAAUUUGGGAGGGAAUCUUUGUACUGCCGAGAACCAAUUUCUUAAAUGAUUAUAUCUACUUCAUUGAUCUACAUUGCCUACAAUUGAAUUAAACCUACUUUGAAGCUUCAUAUUUGUUGUUCAUAUAAUUAAUAUGGGGAAAGUAAGAGUGAGUUUUUGUGAGACAUUUCUUUUCUUCUGGUUAUUACGUUGUAUGUGUACCGAAACCUUUUUGAGUAUUAUCUUGACGUAAUAUUUGAAUUUUAUUGGCGGAUGCAUUAAUGUUUUAGGCUCUUCGAUAAAUUUGUCAUACUUUUUUCUUGGUAUUUCUGAUGACAUUAAUGUUUUAGGCUCUCCGGUAAAUUUGUCAUACUUUUUUCUUGGUAUUUCUGAUUUUCAGUUCUAGUUUGUAUUAUUUUUAGUGUCCUCUUAAUUUCAUGUUAGCAAUGAUACAUGUAUUUAAUUGCAAUCAACUUUCAAAUUGAAGUUGCUGAAUGUGAUUCUUGAAGUUCACGAAUUUUGUAGAUAAAUUGUAAUUGAUAUUAUCUACAGUUUAUAUUUGUAGUAAUUUUGAACAUGUAGAUUAGUUGUGCUAAUUAUGUGUAUAAAUGUAGUUGCUAUUAUCUGCAACUUUAUAAAUGUAGUUAUUUUAUUUUGUGUAGAAUGGACAUUAUUUUGCACCAUAUAAGUGAGGUUACAUGUUGGCUAGCGAGGAGGAAGGGUGCUCCCUCUUUGAAUGAGAAGACUGGAACGCAUAGAAUGAAGAAAUAGUCAAUUGUUUUCCAUAUUUAGUUGAGGCAAAUUUGUAGUUGAAGAAUAAGGAUCUACUUUUUUGGAAACAAUCUACCAGCUUAUUGUAUUUAAUUUUGUAGUUGUAUAUGUUCAUCAUUUUUAUGAAAUACCUUCAAGUUCCA
rnacentral:lncRNA from 1 species